UAUUAUUAUUCUACUUAUUAUUUUUCUAUUAUUUUUACUACUUAUCGGUAUGCCUAAAGUUGUCAUUUUUCUGAACUUUUUCAGAUAUUUUGUGUCAUGAUCUGUAGUGUUUAUUCAUUUUUAUGGACAUAUGAUGUGACCAGAAAUCUGCAUUUAUUUAUGUUUACACUGAUAGCAGCCGACACUCACCGCUAUGCAGCGAGCCCAGCUCCUGCACUCACUUGAAAGUCACUUAACGCCCAAGGGCAUACAUUUAAGGCUCUCGUGUGUUAGGUCCCGGACAUCAAAACUACUGGAAAGAGUAUAUAAGAUGUGGAAAUGCCAUACCUCAAAUAUAUAGGAGACAACAGAGUGACUCCACCUUUGGUGUUUGUGUUAAAGCCUCUGAAGGAAAAUCCCCUCGUGGCUUGUUUGGUGAAAGAUUUUUACCCAAAGAAUCUUGAAAUCUAUAUAAAUUCCACAAAGAACAGCAUUAGUCGUGACAAAAUCCCCACUAAGCUGUCACCAAAGGGAAAAUACAGUGCUGUGCUUGUGGCCAACUUGGAGACAAAAGACGUGCAGUGUCAAGCCAAACACCAAGAAAAAUGGGUGACAAACUUGGAGACUACUUCAAAACUCAAAGGACUGAAUAAUCAACCUAAACAAGGGGAUGAUCCAGAUUCCAGAAAUUGUCAAAAGCCUUCUGAAAGAACCAACACUCUCUCUUUGUAUGUCAUCGGAAUAAGAGUGCUGUUCACCAAAGUGAUAGCCUUCAACACCAUUAUAACGGCUAAGUUCCUUGCCGUAUGAGAUGGAAUUGCAUUGAGGAUCUGCUCCUGAGAACAGUCAUAUUCUUCAUGCCAUUUAUUUCAAUGUUAAUAUACAAUUUAUGUGCAAUAUCUAUCUACCUAUAUAACUAUCUAUCUGUUUGAAAAAGUUUCUAUGGAGGAACUGAAGCAUUGCAUACAUAUGUUACAAUAAAUCCCAGUUUUUCCUUCAAUGUAUUGGAGUGCUGCCCCAUUUUACCUGUUGAAUCUGUGGUCAUAUGUACCCUUCUGUUACAUCAGUACUGUGUUCCUUUAUGUGAUGAUCUGUCUGUCUAACUAUCAGUACUGAGCUUUUUUUCUUUAUUGACAUACAAGCUUUCAUGUAUGAUAUAUUUUUCACAUCAACAAUAAAAUA